UACAUAGGGGGCAAGCGUUAUUCGGAAUUAUUGGGCGUAAAGGGCGCGUAGGCGGCUUGAUAAGUGGAUUGUGAAAUCCCUCGGCUUAACCGAGGAACUGCCGUCCAAACUGCUAUGCUUGAGACCGGGAGAGGUGAGUGGAAUUCCCAGUGUAGCGGUGAAAUGCGUAGAUAUUGGGAGGAACACCAGUGGCGAAGGCGGCUCACUGGACCGGUACUGACGCUGAUGCGCGAAAGCGUGGGGAGCAAACGGG
rnacentral:rRNA from 1 species